rnacentral:misc_RNA from 1 species
GGGAACAGAAAUUGGGGAAACAAAAAUUCUAAUUUGGUGAUGCACAUACUUCAAGGCCUAAUUUUGAUCCCAUAUUUGUUGCAAUACAUUCGUCAAGCCUUUAUACGCACCACAAAUGAACAUGCUGGAAGAUUGGAUAUGUCAGCAGAAACUGCACAAGGGAUUCCUAAGUUUGAAAGGGCUCCCCGUAUGAUUCCGCAAGGGAAAUAGAGAUGCAUGCCCAUUGCUUGGGUAGCCUUGUUUUCAGCCAGUGCAGAAG